rnacentral:tRNA from 1 species
GCCACCGUAGCUCAAUGGCAGAGCAUCCGCCUUGUAAGCGGACGGUUAAGGGUUCGAGUCCCUUCGGUGGCU